rfam:Triticum aestivum genome assembly, contig: Triticum_aestivum_CS42_TGACv1_scaffold_461031_5DS
CAAAUACUCCCUCCGUCCGGAAAUACUUGUCAUCAAAAUGGAUAAAAGGAAAUGUACUUAGACGUAUUUUAGUUUUAGAUACAUCUCUUUUUAUCCAUUUUGAUGACAAGUAUUUUCGGAUGGAGGGAGUAGAAA